UACAGAGACAUCUCACAUUUCUGGCCCAAUCCACCCAAGAGAAAAAUGGACAUUUAAGGAUAAGCCUAAAUCAGGCCAUACAGCAACACAGGCAUUUCAACAACUUGCCUUUCAUGUGAAUCAGAUAUAGCAGCUGGUUGGGUUUUCCUCAGUGAGGAUUCUCAGCUUAACAUUUCAGAUAUCUUGGGUCCUUUUACAAGGAUUUUGGGGGCCCUAAGUGUCAAGCAGCUUUGUCUUUUCAUUCUUAAUUAUAUCAUCUGCUUAA